CGCUGGCGGCGUGCUUAACACAUGCAAGUCGAACGGAAAGGCCCUGCUUUUGUGGGGUGCUCGAGUGGCGAACGGGUGAGUAACACGUGAGUAACCUGCCCUUGACUUUGGGAUAACUUCAGGAAACUGGGGCUAAUACCGGAUAGGAGCUCCUGCUGCAUGGUGGGGGUUGGAAAGUUUCGGCGGUUGGGGAUGGACUCGCGGCUUAUCAGCUUGUUGGUGGGGUAGUGGCUUACCAAGGCUUUGACGGGUAGCCGGCCUGAGAGGGUGACCGGCCACAUUGGGACUGAGAUACGGCCCAGACUCCUACGGGAGGCAGCAGUGGGGAAUAUUGCACAAUGGGCGGAAGCCUGAUGCAGCAACGCCGCGUGCGGGAUGACGGCCUUCGGGUUGUAAACCGCUUUCGCCUGUGACGAAGCGUGAGUGACGGUAAUGGGUAAAGAAGCACCGGCUAACUACGUGCCAGCAGCCGCGGUGAUACGUAGGGUGCGAGCGUUGUCCGGAUUUAUUGGGCGUAAAGGGCUCGUAGGUGGUUGAUCGCGUCGGAAGUGUAAUCUUGGGGCUUAACCCUGAGCGUGCUUUCGAUACGGGUUGACUUGAGGAAGGUAGGGGAGAAUGGAAUUCCUGGUGGAGCGGUGGAAUGCGCAGAUAUCAGGAGGAACACCAGUGGCGAAGGCGGUUCUCUGGGCCUUUCCUGACGCUGAGGAGCGAAAGCGUGGGGAGCGAACAGGCUUAGAUACCCUGGUAGUCCACGCUGUAAACGGUGGGUACUAGGUGUGGGGUCCAUUCCACGGGUUCCGUGCCGUAGCUAACGCUUUAAGUACCCCGCCUGGGGAGUACGGCCGCGAGGCUAAAACUCAAAGGAAUUGACGGGGCCCCGCACAAGCGGCGGAGCAUGCGGAUUAAUUCGAUGCAACGCGUAGAACCUUACCUGGGUUUGACAUGGAUCGGGAGUGCUCAGAGAUGGGUGUGCCUCUUUUGGGGUCGGUUCACAGGUGGUGCAUGGCUGUCGUCAGCUCGUGUCGUGAGAUGUUGGGUUAAGUCCCGCAACGAGCGCAACCCUUGUUCACUGUUGCCAGCACGUUAUGGUGGGGACUCAGUGGAGACCGCCGGGGUCAACUCGGAGGAAGGUGGGGAUGACGUCAAGUCAUCAUGCCCCUUAUGUCCAGGGCUUCACGCAUGCUACAAUGGCUGGUACAGAGAGUGGCGAGCCUGUGAGGGUGAGCGAAUCUCGGAAAGCCGGUCUCAGUUCGGAUUGGGGUCUGCAACUCGACCUCAUGAAGUCGGAGUCGCUAGUAAUCGCAGAUCAGCAACGCUGCGGUGAAUACGUUCCCGGGGCUUGUACACACCGCCCGUCAAGUCAUGAAAGUUGGUAACACCCGAAGCCGGUGGCCUAACCGUUGUGGGGGAGCCGUCGAAGGUGGGACUGGUGAUUAGGAC
rnacentral:rRNA from 1 species